CAUGUAGGCGGCGGAUCAAGUGGGGCGUGAAAGGCCUGGGCUCAACCUGGGAACUGCGCUUCAGACUGGUUCGCUCGAGUUCGGGAGAGGGUGGUGGAAUUCCCAGUGUAGAGGUGAAAUUCGUAGAUAUUGGGAGGAACACCGGUGGCGAAGGCGGCCACCUGGCCCGAGACUGACGCUCAAGUGCGAAAGCGUGGGGAGCAAACA
rnacentral:rRNA from 1 species